CUGGGAAGGAAGGGAGGGGAUGGUAGGUGGUGGGUGACCGCGGCAGUGUCUGCGAUCCAUGUGACACCCCUGUCCUGGUCCAGGUACGGAGCUCGGUGUCCAGGGCCAGCUCCCCCCAACACAAAUGCAGACUCCCACGCCUGGCGACCCCCUGUGCCUCCCUUCUGCACCUCGAGGAGGCUCACACGCGAGUGGGGACACCUCCGCCUGCCCCUGCGCUCUGUCCACUCUCCCCCAGGCGCAAUGACCUCUGCACGCAGGGCUGCAGGCCCUGGAGGGGGCUCCCCUGGGGACCCGGAGCCGGUGGACCAGGCACACAAUCUGCAGCAGGAUUUCCUGAAGGCUCGCGGCCUCCAAAGCCUGGGGAGGGGCUCAGCCCUCAGGCCAGGGCGGGCCUCCGAGGUGCUGCCGGCAGGCAGGCGCCUCCACCCGGGCUCCGGAUCCGGCCCCGGCCAAAGUCAAGAGAGGAGAGAGGUCCAGGUCCCAGACGGCUCAGCCACCAAGUCAGUUUACUGAGCCACGAGCUGCAGACGGGAGAGAAAGAAGGCACAGAAAAUAAAAUAUCCGACUUUUUCUUUUCAUGAUCUUCCUCAAAAAUAUAGUGUAGCUACUAUUUCCCUAGCAUUUCUAUUGCAUUAGGUAUUAUGAGUAGUGCAGAGAUGAUUUAGGGUGGGAGUAUUCCAUAGAUUAUAUGCAAAUAAUAUGUUUGCAAAAUAUAUUAUAUGCAAAUAAUAUAUAUAUAUAAAAUAUAUAUUUGCAGACCAUUUUAUGUAAGGAAUCUGAGCAUCCACAGAUUUCAAUAUCCUCAGAGGGUCCUGGAACCACCCCCUUUGAAUACCAAGGGAAGACUACACAGGUAGUAUGAGAGAUACUAAAAAUAUUUUAUAAUUGACAUCCACCACCUACUAAUCAGAAUAGUUGCCUAUCCCAGUCAGUAUGGAAUGUCAUCUGUCUAUCUAUCUAUCUAUCUAUCUGGAUCUAUUUAUAGUCAUAUAUCCAUAUUAAACUGAACCAUUUGAAAAUGUCACCAUUCAAAUAUUUUUGAUAUGCAGAAAGAGUGAUUUCAUAUGACUUAACCUAACGAUAUACAUCAUGGUGAUGAUAUAAAGUGUAUUUCUAAUCACAGGUUGCUUUUUAAAAACAUUGAAAAGCAACACCAGGUACAGUGGCUCACACCUGUAAUCCCAGCAGCUUCGGAGGCUGAGGCAGGAGGAUCAGGAAUCCAAAGCCAGCCUCAGCAACUUAGUGAGGCCCUAAGCAACUCAGAGAGACCUUGUCUCAAAAUAAAAUAUAAAAAGGGCUGGGGAUGUGGCUCAGGGGGAAAGCACCCCUGAGUUCAAUCCAUGGUACAAAAAAUAAAUGAAAAUCACCAGAGAAGGGCUUGCUGCAGGUUGUGGUGGGGAAGGAAAACCGCUUCUGACCCUAGGAAUUGCUGGCAGCACACGUGCCCCCGGCUGGGCAGCCACACCAGCAUGCGGGAUGUUUGUGGGG
rnacentral:lncRNA from 1 species